rnacentral:tRNA from 1 species
UAUUUAAUAAUAAAAAAAUUUUAAAUAUUGAAAAUUUUAGUAAAAAUUAAAUAG